AAGAGAAGAGAGGGAGGAGGAGAAAAGCAAAGGAAUCAGGGAGAAAAAAGAAGAAGAAGAGAAAAGAGGGAGCACGGGAAAGAGAAAGAAAAUAGGGAAAGAAAAACAGAAGAGAGUAGUGAUCUGUUUAUGAUGGGUUUGGAUUUCAGAAGAAGAAGAGAAUGAAGAUUGAGAUGAUUUUGGUUGUCGGCUGUACAAUAUAGCAAUGGGUGGAGGUUUUGCCAUUCGUUUUUGAAUGGGUGAGGAGGAAGAACUAGUUUAAAACGUGGGAAAGAAGAGGCAAAGAAGCAUAUCCCAAGAAGAUAUGGAUGUGGUUAGAAAUGAGUGGACAAAGUUUGUGGUCAAGACAUAUAUGUAAGCAUUGUACUUGGUACUUGGGUACCCAUAUAUUUUUUUAGUUCAGUUGAGACCUUGUUCUUUAGAUUUGGUUGGACAUGAGUUGAUGCUAGUACUUUGAAUUGAUAAUGUAAGAUUUGUGAGAAUGAUGUAUGAGAAUGUGGUAAAUGAAAUUGGAACUUCGAAUUUCAUAUCA